rnacentral:lncRNA from 1 species
GUGUUAGACCUGAUUCUGAACCGCAGUUGGUCCUUGUGAGACGACCUAGGAGUCAUUCCUAGCUAUACUGCAUUUCUUAUUAUGCAAUCAAAUUUGAUUGGGCGGCGACACCCAUCAUUCUCCACUAUUUUUUCUUUUUUUAUCUCUUCCCUCUUCCUUUCUUUCUCCUUUUUCUCUCAUUCUUCUCUCUCAUCUUCUUUUCUCUCAACCUCACCUCUUCUCUCUUCAUUCUUUUCUUCUUCUUUACUUAACUCAACUUUCUCUUUUCUGCCACCUUUUCUCUAAUCCAAAAUCUUUCCACUUCUAGUCAUAAUGGCGUUGCACUCUUCCUUAGGGAUAACUUUAGUAUUAGCCCCAAAACUCCUGUCAAGCUUAUCCUCCAACUUUUUAGCCAAUUGGCCAACUUGUAUCUCCAAGUUUCUAAUGG